AUUUUUAUUUUAUUAUUUAUCAUAUUUUCUUUUAUUUUGUUUAUCAUUUAUUUCUUUAAAUCAUGUUAUUUAUUUUAAUUUUUUAAUUUGACUUUUGUUCCUUAUUGUGGCAUUUAAUGAUUGUUGAGGUGAUCAUAUUUUGAACCUCUUGAUUCUUGAGGGAUGGUCCUUAAGAUUGACUCAACCUUCUUUGGUUCAAACGUAUUGAUGAAUGAUCAUUUGAUCGUUCUUGAUACUUUGCACCAGAGAUAGGUUAUCUCUUAUUGGACCAUGAUUCAAGUCUUUG
rnacentral:lncRNA from 1 species